rnacentral:lncRNA from 1 species
AGGUGGCGCUGUGGAGCCGCGCAGGGUCUAGGGCGACUCUCUGAGGGAGCCGCGGCCGCCAGGCUCCGUGGGUUUUGGUUCAGGCGCCGGGGGCGAACAGAGUCCAUGGAGGAUGGUCACUUCACCCAGGCCUCGGUGUCAUCACGGACAGCUUUCAGAAAGGGGAGACAGCCUGGACAUGGUGGCUCACACCCAUAACCUCAGCACUUUGUGAGGCCAAGGUGGGGAGGAUCACUUGAGGCCAGGGGUUCAAGACCAGCCUGGGCAACGUAGUGUGCCCAAGGAUGUUGUAGAACUCUGUCUAGCCACAGUGUGGGGAUGGGGAGCUCCCGCCGACAGACUCUGUUGCUUUCUGGCUUGGU